rnacentral:lncRNA from 1 species
CAGGUAAUGACUAUGAAUAGGGUUCGAUUAUUUGUCUAGGUAGGUCAGACAAGGAGGUAACUGCAGGGAAUCUCUCCUAGGCAGAGAUUUACUACCUCUCCGGAAGUAGGAAGUCCCCGAACAAGUUGCUCUCUCCUACAUCAGCUCAGGGUAAAGGGCACUCAACCUCCAUCACUCCUAUCAUCAAAGAAGAGGCUUUCUUGGAAUUUUUUUUUUUGGGGGGGGGGGAUACGGGGGGGGGAGUAAGAGAACCUUCACUCCGAUAAGUUUACAUUUCAAAUUCUUCCGUCCCGAAUUUCCCGCCCAUCCUAGUGCCUCUUUUUCCUGCCUGUGAUCCCCAGCGCGAGGCGGGCUCCCUUCGGUCCAGACCCUGUGGUAAUCGGGUCAGGAGCCGGCGUCCCCGGCGGCGCCUGCCAGUCCCAGGCGGGUAAGGCCCCUGCGGGCGGCCUCGCGGGGCCCGGACCCUCGGGACAGUAGGGUCGUCGUCGACGCCGCCUCCCCGGCGCGACUCCCAGAGCCGGCAGUGCCUGCAAGUGCGCCUCCGCCCCCUGGGUUCGGCCCCGGGUCCCCGCCUCUCCACUUUCUCCGGCGGGACCGCGCACGGUGCGCCGGGGGGGGCGCGCACGCAGGGGGCUGGCCUGCCCACGGCGCGGGGGAAAGUUGAGUUGGGAGAAGUUGGGAGCAGCGGGGGCGCGCCCCAGGGUGGGCACAGGGGAGUUGUCGGGAGCGCGCGAGGGCGCCGUAGAAGGGGGAGAGACCCUGAGGCCCUCGGGGAACGAAGUCCAGAGCAAGCGGGUUAUGCCGCCGCCCUGUUGCCCUGAAAGCCGCAGCGACAGCGAAAAGGGCUAAGGUUUAGCCAUGAGCAGCGGCCCCCGGCGCCCCACCUCGGGCACCGAUUCUUUCCGCACUGUGAGUAUUGUCUGGGGUAGCGCUGGGCCCCAGACCUUACCAGCUCCCUUUCCACAGGUCCAAUCAAAUGGACCAGCUCCCUCCUGCCUUAAGUCCUAGAGACAGCAUCCAGGUGAAGUAGGGGCUCGGGAGGGGAGACUGUCAUGGACCCAGGAGGGGGCACUACCGGCGCUGCCUGACCUGGCGUAGAGGGGGCUGGUGGGUAGGGGUGGGCUUGGGCUGCUUCUCUCCCCAUGGGGAGGAGGUCGAGGCUGUUCCUGCAGGCCUGGGAGAAGACCUGGGCAGUCUCUUAGCCUCGGUGAGAGAGGAACUCUGAGUACCACGACUCCCUAACGCAGCCUCCCGCUCUGACCUUAGAAGCAGCCUUCCCGCUCUGCCUGAGCUCCCUCCUGGCUCUGCUGGCCCUGGCUUGG